rnacentral:rRNA from 1 species
GCCAGACUCCUACGGGAGGCAGCAGUGGGGAAUAUUGCACAAUGGGGGAAACCCUGAUGCAGCGACGCCGCGUGAGUGAGGAAGUAUUUCGGUAUGUAAAGCUCUAUCAGCAGGGAAGAAAAAAUGACGGUACCUGACUAAGAAGCACCGGCUAAAUACGUGCCAGCAGCCGCGGUAAUACGUAUGGUGCAAGCGUUAUCCGGAUUUACUGGGUGUAAAGGGAGCGCAGGCGGUGCGGCAAGUCUGGUGUGAAAGCCCGCGGCCCAACCGCGGGACUGCAUUGGGAACUGGCGCGCUGGAGUGCCGGAGGGGUAGGCGGAAUUCCUAGUGUAGCGGUGAAAUGCGUAGAUAUUAGGAGGAACACCAGUGGCGAAGGCGGCCUACUGGACGGUGACUGACGCUGAGGCUCGAAAGCGUGGGGAGCAAACAGGAUUAGAUACCCCCGUAU